UCAGCGGUCUCAGCUCAGGUUACAUAUUUUUCGACUAUAUACAUGAGUUGCCCAUGGCUUUAUCGCUGUAAGAUCAGUUUGGAUCAGUUUUAUGUUGUGCCGUGCAAUAUCUUGGUCAAAGUGGCAUUGUGCAAAGUUUUUAACAAGUAUUCACACUAGUAUAUGGAUUGAAUGUUCAGUGUUUGCUUUGUAAACAUUAUGAGAGUGUGCUCUUAAGUACUUGUAAGGUUAACACAAAUGUCGGUUUCGUGAUGUUUGCUUCUUAAUAAGCCUCCUGUUACAUCGUGCUUAAAUUGAAUGGUAUAACCCUGUUGCUUUGAAGAGAAUAAAAACCAUUCUCAAUCCGACAGUAUAGUGGACCACAAAGCGUGUGAUACUAAAUUGAAAAUGUUUUGUGAAAGUGCGGUUGUGGUUGAGGUUCAUGGGCCCUUGUCUGGGUACUAACCCCCACACAACAAGCGGCCUAUAUCAAGUUACAAAUGUCGGCUGUCAGUGUCGUGGAAACAGUGUAGUGACUUCAGAUUUAUUUACCACAAGUUUUGAAAUACUUCGAAGCAUGAAAACUAAGCAUGGAAAUAGCAAAGAAUUACUGUGGCCAGCGAAGGAUGCGACUACUACGCAACGGCUGCAGUAGUAUCCUGAGGACAGCGCCGUCAUUCGGAGAUGCAGUGGGCCCAGUGAUUGACGCAGCCACUGUCCUACGAACAAGAGCGGUCUUCUGCAGGGCGGAGAGUGGAGCAAUGGAGCAACGCUUAGAAUUCUGAUCCUUGCAUCGUUUACUUCCAAAAACAUCGUUUAAUGGUAUCCUUCUUUCUAUAUUGAUAAUAUUCCAAAAGAAGAAAAGGAAAACCCAGGAUGAGAAAACUAGACGGUGUUGAGGACGACCUGAAGGAGAUGAAGGCGGAAGGAUGCAUAGAGAAGAUGAGGAAUAGAGGGCAGUGGAGACUGGUUAG